GCCSGGGCAUUGCCCCAGUACGGCGAGUGAGCGGCAAAAGCUCAAAUUUGAAAUCCUGCGGGAAUUGUAAUUUGAAGGUUUCGUGGUCUGAGUCGGCCGCGCCCAAGUCCAUUGGAACAUGGCGCCUGGGAGGGUGAGAGCCCCGUAUGGCGCACGCCGACUCUUUGUACACCGCGGCUCCGACGAGUCGAGUUGUUKGGGAAUGCAGCUCUAAGUGGGUGGUAAAUUCCAUCUAAAGCUAAAUAUUGGCGAGAGACCGAUAGCGAACAAGUACAGUGAUGGAAAGAUGAAAAGCAYUUUGAAAAGAGAGUGAAACAGCACGUGAAAUUGUUGAAAGGGAAGGGCUUGCAAGCAGACACGGUUUUACCGGGCCAGCGUCGAAAAGGGGGGAGGAACAAGAACUCGAGAAUGUGGCGCGCACCUUCGGGCGCGCGUGUUAUAGCUCGUGUUGACSCCUCCAUCCCUUUUCGAGGCCUGCGAUUCUAGGACGCUGGCGUAAUGGUUGCAAGCCGCCCGUCUUGAAACACGGAMCA
rnacentral:rRNA from 1 species